AUCUCAGUAGCUCAAUGGUGGAGCGGUCGGCUGUUAACUGACUGGUCGUAGGUUCAAAUCCUACUUGCUUGG
rnacentral:tRNA from 1 species